GGGAUCAUCAGGCCACCCCCACCCUCACCCUCACCCGUAUUUCUCACUGCCUUACCCAGUCACUUCUGUACUGACUCACUCCUAAAUUGAGCGCAGCUGCAGUGCAUUGUGCUGCGAUUCCUCAGUGUGGUCCCUGGACAGCGUGGUUCAGCAGCCUGUCUCCCCCCGGACGCUCAUUCUACACUUCUCUGCUACAGCAAUAUUCAGCUCGACAUCAGUCUCGCACAAUCAAUCGACACUCAGCUGGAAGCCGGAACCUGUGAUUGUUGCAGAUUGAUCGCUCGGGACUCACCUGCCCCAGUUCCACCUGGCACAGCAAUCAAAAGGAUGCCUCCUGGAUUGUGGUGGCUUCACACAAACACUCCCAACAAGAGUCAAAGCCUUAUCAUCACUGUUGACUACUGCCAAAGUCCUCUGCCUCACGAAUAUUUUUUUUUUCUGUCCUUGUCUGUUUGU